rnacentral:rRNA from 1 species
AUGUUGGCGAGGCUCAUGGCGCGGCUCCGCGGCGGCGAGCACGGCGGGCGCCGCGCCUGCUACGGCAUCGCGGCGACAUGCGCGUGGCUGCUCCUCUUCUGCGUGCUCGCCGUCGCCCUCCGCAGCGUCUGGAAGGCCUUCGCCUUCGCCAGCCUCGCGCUGGCGGCCUUCGGCGCCGUCGACCACUUCGCGCCCGACAUCUGGUGCGCCGGUGCGCCAGGCGACGGCGAAGGCGCGCCGGAGCGAGACCAGUCCACGGCGCCGGCUUCGGCUCGACGGUUCGGGCUUGGGCGUGCCGCGAUCGACGCCCUGCCCACGUUCGCGUACGGCGCCGACGGUGGCGACGUCGACGUGGACCUUGAGUCGGGGGGCGACACCGCGUGCUCGGUGUGCCUGGAGGACCUGCGGGCCGGCGAGCUGGUGCGGCGGCUCCCGGCGUGCAGGCACGUGUUCCACGUGGAGUGCAUCGACAUGUGGCUGCACUCGCACCGGAGCUGCCCUCUCUGCCGGUGCGACCUCUCGCCGCCGCGGAAGGUUGUUACCAAAGCGCCGGCGGUGGAGAGUGGAACGCCUGCUGAUGACGCUUUGCCUGCGGUGGUCGCGGCGACGGUAGCAGAGACGGAGCCGCCGGCUGAUGAUCAUGAUGCUUCGCCGCCGGUGGUGACAACAGAGACGAAACCACCUGCUGGUGCUUUGCCGACGGUGUAG